CAGUCGCCGCGGUAAUACGAGGGGAGCUAGCGUUGUUCGGAAUUACUGGGCGUAAAGCGCGCGUAGGCGGCUUUUUAAGUCAGAGGUGAAAGCCCGGGGCUCAACCCCGGAAUUGCCUUUGAAACUGGAAAGCUAGAAUCUUGGAGAGGUCAGUGGAAUUCCGAGUGUAGAGGUGAAAUUCGUAGAUAUUCGGAAGAACACCAGUGGCGAAGGCGACUGACUGGACAAGUAUUGACGCUGAGGUGCGAAAGCGUGGGGAGCAAACAGGAUUAGAUACCCCUGUAGUCCCUGUCUCUUAUAA
rnacentral:rRNA from 1 species